rnacentral:rRNA from 1 species
GAGGGUGAACGGCCACAUUGGGACUGAGACACGGCCCAAACUCCUACGGGAGGCAGCAGUAGGGAAUUUUCGGCAAUGGGCGCAAGCCUGACCGAGCAACGCCGCGUGAGUGAUGAAGGUUUUCGGAUUGUAAAGCUCUGUUGUAAGGGAAGAACGUCUUGGAGAGAAUCCAGGAGUGACGGUACCUUACCAGAAAGCCACGGCUAACUACGUGCCAGCAGCCGCGGUAAUACGUAGGUGGCAAGCGUUAUCCGGAAUUAUUGGGCGUAAAGGGUGCGUAGGCGGUUAGUUAAGUUUAUGGUGAAAGCGUGGGGCUCAACCCCAUACAGCCAUAGAUACUGGCUAGCUAGAGUACAGGAGAGGGCAGUGGAAUUCCAUGUGUAGCGGUAAAAUGCGUAGAUAUAUGGAGGAACACCAGUGGCGAAGGCGGCUGCCUGGCCUGCAACUGACGCUGAUGCACGAAAGCGUGGGGAGCAAAUAGGAUUAGAUACCCUAGUAGUCCACGCCGUAAACGAUGAAUACUAAGUGUUGGGGAAACUCAGUGCUGCAGUUAACGCAAUAAGUAUUCCGCCUGUGGAGUAUGCUCGCAAGAGUAAAACAUAAAGGAAUUGACGGGGGCC